AUAAUACUUCCUCCGUCCGGAAAUACUUGUCAUAGGAACGGAUGUAUCUAGAUGUAGUUUAGUUCUCGAUACAUCCAUUUUAUCCAUUCGUGCGACAAGUAAUUCCAGACGGAGGGAGUAUUGU
rfam:Hordeum vulgare subsp. vulgare, WGS project CAJW01000000 data, contig: morex_contig_165286